rnacentral:rRNA from 1 species
CGGCGUGCUUAACACAUGCAGUCGAACGGAGUCUUAAGGGCUUGCUCUUAAGACUUAGUGGCGCACGGGUGAGUAACAGUAGCUAACCUGCCCCAUAGUAAGGGACAACAGUUGGAAACGACUGCUAAUACCUUGUAUCCUUCUUUACACAAGUAAAGUCGGGAAAGUUUUUUCGCUAUGGGAUGGGGCUGCGGCCAUCAGCUUGUUGGGGAGGUAACGGCUCACCAAGGCUAUGACGGGUAGCUGGUCUGAGAGAUGAUCAGCCACACUGGAACUGAGACACGGUCCAGACUCCUACGGGAGGCAGCAGUGGGAAUUUUACACAAUGGGCGAAAGCCUGAUGUAGCAACGCCGCGUGGAGGAUGAAGGAUCUGGUCUGUAAACUCCUUUUAUAAGGGAAGAAAUUUGACGGUACCUUAUGAAUAAGCACCGCUAACUCCGUGCCAGCAGCCGCGGUAAUACGGGGGGUGCAAGCGUUACUCGGAAUCACUGGCGUAAAGGGCGCGUAGGCGUCUUGUUAAGUCUUGAGUGAAAGCCUGCGGCUCAACCGAGAACUGCUUGGGAAACUGACAAGAUUGAGUAUGGAAGAGGUAGGUGGAAUUUCCAGUGAGGGGUAAAAUCCGUAGAUAUUGGAAGGAAUACCAGAAGCGAAGGCGACCUACUGGGACUUACUGACGCUGAGGCGCGAAAGCGUGGGGAGCAAACAGGAUUAGAUACCCUGGUAGUCACGCCCUAAACGAUGAACACUAGUCGUCGGGUAGCUAGUCUAUUCGGUGACGCAGCUAAGCAUUAAGUGUUCCGCCUGGGGAGUACGGCCGCAAGGUUAAAACUCAAAUGAAUUGACGGG